GACGUUAAUAUUCCACUUACAAACAAGCUGCAAAUUAUGAACACAGUGUCAAAUUUGAAUGAUUCAGUGAAGUUGAGAUUGAACUGUAAUUACAACAAAUGAUAUGGAAUGGGUGCUAAGAAAGCAGGAGGGAGCAUAUUUGAUGAUAUGAAAAAAUGAAAAAUCUAAUCAUUUUGUUAUUUAUGGAAAUGUUAUGAUAUUUUUAAAUUAUUUGAUUCAUCAUGUUUAUGUCUUGAAGAAAAAAGUAUGAUUCAUUUAAAAAGAAUUUUUUUACAUUUUGGAUUAUUAA